ensembl:lncRNA
CCCCAACCCUACUGUUAAUCUGACAGGUACUGGACCCCAACCCUACUGUUAAUCUGACAGGUACUGGACCCCAACCCUACUGUUAAUCUGACAGGUACUGGACCCCCACCCUACUGUUUAUCUGACAGGUACUAGACCACAAUCCUGCUGUUUAUCUGACAGGUACUAGACCACAAUCCUGCUGUUUAUCUGACAGGUACUGGACCCCAACGUUGCUGUUUAUCUGACUGGUAUUAGACCACAACCAUGGUGGUUAUCUGACAGGUACUGGACCCCAACCCUGCUGUUCAUCAGACAGGUACUGGACCCGAACCCUGCUGUUUAUCUGAUUUUAUCCAUAUACAGUAUUAGAUGUGUAAUGAUCAAAUUAGUCACAUUUUAUUCAUCACAUGCUUGAUAAACAACAGGUGUGGACUAACAGUGAAAUGCUUACUGAUGGGCCCUUCCGAAUAACGCAGAGAGAAACAACAUAGAAAUUGAAUAGAAAAACAACAAAAACAUAAUAAUACAAGUAACAAUAGAUACACAAUGAGUAACAAUAACAUGGCUACAUACAAAGGGUACCAGUCAAUGUGCAGGGGUAGGAGGUAAUAACAUGGCUAUAUACAAGGGGUACCAGUACUGAUUUAAUUUGCAGGGGUAGGAG